rnacentral:rRNA from 1 species
AUGGAGAAGAAUUCUCCUGCUCCGGCCUCCUUGCCUGAGGGCGUGGGGAAGACGGCGCCGAGGCGGCCCUGUGGGGAUGGCUCCCCUCUGAUCACCGACAUGGAGGCCGCGCGGAGAGCGGUCAGAGGAUGCUUGGUGGUAGGGCGAUUCCUCUCGCCUUUCCAAGUUUAUCCUCGGAUCCUUGUUGAUGACCUUCGUGCAUCGUCGGCCUGGAGGUUGCAAGGCGGGGUCACCGUUCAGGAGGUGGCCAGCGACGGGAGGUUCAUCCUCAACUUCUCCAACGACGUAGACAGACGUUUCGUGUUGAAGGCCCAGCCAUGGCACCACAACCGCGACGGGAUCAUCUUCGCCCAGUUCGACGGCAAGGGUGACCCAGCGGAGGUGGACCUUGGAUCCAUGGCUAUAUGGGCCCAGGUUCGUGACCUACCAUUUGAGCUUAAAACCGAGGAUGUGGGUCGGUCUCUAGGGGACCAACUCGGUGAAGUGAUCACCGUUUCACACCAGGAUCACUUGAUUGUUGAGAAGUACUUGCGUGUGCGUGUGAAAAUCCCACUACAUGAACCAAUCAAUAGUAGGGUAGAAUUCACCCCUUUAGGUAGUAAAGAAAAGCUUCGGUUUGAUGUUCGCUAUGAAAAAUUGCCAUCGUAUUGUGAAUGUUGUGGGCUGGUAGGACAUAUGUCAGAGAGGUUUUGUAGUAUCCCUAAGGAGAGUAGAAUAGCUAAAUUUGCAAAAAAUCUCAGUGUAGAG